rnacentral:rRNA from 1 species
GACGAACGCUGGCGGCGUGCUUAACACAUGCAAGUCGAGCGGAAAGGCCCUUCGGGGUACUCGAGCGGCGAACGGGUGAGUAACACGUGAGUAACCUGCCCCAGACUUUGGGAUAACCCUCGGAAACGGGGGCUAAUACCGGAUACGACACAGCUUCGCAUGGGGUCUGUGUGGAAAGUUUUUCGGUUUGGGAUGGGCUCGCGGCCUAUCAGCUUGUUGGUGGGGUGAUGGCCUACCAAGGCGACGACGGGUAGCCGGCCUGAGAGGGCGACCGGCCACACUGGGACUGAGACACGGCCCAGACCCCUACGGGAGGCAGCAGUGGGGAAUAUUGCACAAUGGGCGGAAGCCUGAUGCAGCGACGCCGCGUGAGGGAUGACGGCCUUCGGGUUGUAAACCUCUUUCAGCAGGGACGAAGCGUAAGUGACGGUACCUGCAGAAGAAGCGCCGGCCAACUACGUG